UUAAGCAUAUCAAUAAGCGGAGGUAAAGAAACCAACAGGGAUUCCCUUAGUAACGGCGAGCGAAAAGGGAUGAGCCCAGCAUGUAAAUCUCCGGUUUCCGGCGAAUUGUAGUCUGGAGUAGCAACUCCUGGUGCCGUGCCGACCCAAGCAUCUUGGAAUAGAUCGCCUCAGAGGGUGAGAGCCCCGUAGGUCGGUACGAGCUCCUACACGGAGUGCUCACGCAGAGUCGGGUUGUUUGGGAAUGCAGCCCCAAUUGGGUGGUAAACCCCAUCUAAGGCUAAAUACCUGUGGGAGACCGAUAGCAAAAAAGUACCUCGAGGGAACGAUGAAAAGACCGCUGGCAAGCGAGUGAAAGAGUGCAUGAAAUUGUAUAGUGGGAAGGGAUGGCCUGGCGUAUUGCCCGCGGGUAUACACUGCUCCUUGAGCUGUUGAAUACACCGUGGGCUGGCUGGUGCCGACACCUGCGCUUGCAAAUCCCCAAACUAAGGUGUUUGGCUCUUCAAGCGCGGGUGUUGAGGUUGAUCGUCGCUCUGUUUUAUACUGCGUC
rnacentral:rRNA from 1 species